UACGGAGGGUGCGAGCGUUGUCCGGAAUCACUGGGCGUAAAGGGCGCGUAGGUGGCCUGUGUAAGUCUGCGGUGAAAGCCCGGCGCUCAACGCCGGGUCGGCCGUGGAUACUCUCGGGCUCGAGCUUACUAGAGGCAGAUGGAAUUCCGGGUGUAGCGGUGGAAUGCGUAGAGAUCCGGAAGAACACCGGUGGCGAAGGCGGUCUGCUGGGGUAAUGCUGACACUGAUGCGCGACAGCGUGGGGAGCAAACAGG
rnacentral:rRNA from 1 species